rnacentral:rRNA from 1 species
AGAUUGAACGCUGGCGGCAUGCCUUACACAUGCAAGUCGAACGGCAGCACGGGAGCAAUCCUGGUGGCGAGUGGCGAACGGGUGAGUAAUAUAUCGGAACGUGCCCAGUCGUGGGGGAUAACGCAGUGAAAGCUGUGCUAAUACCGCAUACGAUCUAUGGAUGAAAGCGGGGGACUCGUCAAGAGCCUCGCGCGAUUGGAGCGGCCGAUAUCAGAUUAGCUAGUUGGUGGGGUAAAAGCCCACCAAGGCGACGAUCUGUAGCUGGUCUGAGAGGACGACCAGCCACACUGGAACUGAGACACGGUCCAGACU